ncrna:unclassified sequences L13-Bacteroidia ribosomal protein leader
GAGCCCCUUAAAAGGCUCAUUAUCUGCGUGUUAAUAGCUUUUCUCAUUGGCCUGGGAAAGUGGUUAGUGAAUC